rnacentral:rRNA from 1 species
GGCAGCACAGCAGUAGCAAUACUGUGGGUGGCGAGCGGCGGACGGGUGAGGAACACAUCGGAAUCUACCCUGUCGUGGGGGACAACGUAGGGAAACUUACGCUAAUACCGCAUACGACCUUUGGGUGAAAGUGGGGGACCCGCAAGGGCCUCACGCGAUUGGAUGAGCCGAUGUCCGAUUAGCUAGUUGGCGGGGUAAUGGCCCACCAAGGCGACGAUCGGUAGCUGGUCUGAGAGGACGACCAGCCACACUGGAACUGAGACACGGUCCAGACUCCUACGGGAGGCAGCAGUGGGGAAUAUUGGACAAUGGGGGCAACCCUGAUCCAGCCAUGCCGCGUGGGUGAAGAAGGCCUUCGGGUUGUAAAGCCCUUUUGUACGGGAAGAAAAGCUUCCGGUGAAUAUCCGGGAGUCAUGACGGUACCGUAAGAAUAAGCACCGGCUAACUUCGUGCCAGCAGCCGCGGUAAUACGAAGGGUGCAAGCGUUACUCGGAAUUACUGGGCGUAAAGCGUGCGUAGGUGGUGAGUUAAGUCUGAUGUGAAAUCCCCGGGCUCAACCUGGGAAUGGCAUUGGAUACUGGCUCGCUAGAGUGCGGUAGAGGGUGGUGGAAUUCCCGGUGUAGCAGUGAAAUGCGUAGAGAUCGGGAGGAACAUCUGUGGCGAAGGCGGCCACCUGGACCAACACUGACACUGAGGCACGAAAGCGUGGGGAGCAAACAGGAUUAGAUACCCUGGUAGUCCACGCCCUAAACGAUGCGAACUGGAUGUUGGGUGCAACUUGGCACUCAGUAUCGAAGCUAACGCGUUAAGUUC